rnacentral:rRNA from 1 species
CUCUACAGCCAUGCCACCCUGAACAAGCCCGAUCCCAUCUGAUCUCAGAAACUAUGCAGGGUAGGGCCUGGUUAGUACUUGGAUGGGAGACCACCUGGGAAGACCGGGUGCUGUAGGCG